AUCUUACCGGGUCCGGACACACUGAGGAUUGACAGACAAUUGUCUUUUUGUCAAAUUUAAAGACAAAAGAUAACAGAUCUUUCAUGAUUAUGUGAUGGGUGGUGCAUGGCCGUUCUUAGUUCGUGGAGUGAUCUGUCUGCUUAAUUGCGUUUCAAAUAUAUUUUAUUAUAUAACGAGUCUACAAAGGAGUGGUUCAUUAACAGACAAUCAUAUCUUUGAGCGUCUGGAAUCUACUCUAUUUGGCUCAAUUGAACGCAACGGACGUGAUCGCGAGUCCUUGUUGAACUUCAGUAUAUAUUGACUUUCCCCGUAGGAAGGGAUUGGCAAUAAUUGAAUGUUCGCUUUCUAUAGGUGUGUAUGAUUAAUCUCAAAAUUACAUUUAUUUGUAGUGGCGAGUAUAACUUACUAUCCUAUAGGAAAACUCGGGCGACCGCUGUAAUAUUUCUCUUUAAAACAGAGGAAGAUUGCGGCAAUAACAGGUCUGUGAUGCCCUCAGAUGUCCCGGGCCGCACACGUGCUACAUUGAUUAGCGCAGUGCGCAUACUUUCAAUAUGAUACAUUAGAUUGGAUUGUUUUAUUAAGCUCCAUCUAAUACUAUCCGGCUUGAGAAGGCUGGGU
rnacentral:rRNA from 1 species